AAAUCAACAUUACUAACGGCGUAAAGAGUGGUCACAUGCUAUCCAAGUAACUAAGAUCAAAAAGCAACUGAGUCGUCACAAGCCAAAGAUGCGCAGUAAAAGGCCUCUAUUCAAAGAAAAUCUUAGACUAACGAUGGAUUGAACCCACGAAAGCCAGGGCCCAAACUGGGAUUAGAUACCCCACUAUGCCUGGCCCUAAAUCUUGAUGCUCGAUCUAACCGGAGCAUCCGCCCGAGAACUACGAGCACAAACGCUUAAAACUCUAAGGACUUGGCGGUGCUCCAAACCCACCUAGAGGAGCCUGUUCUGUAAUCGAUGAUCCACGAUAUACCUGACCAUUCCUCGCCCAAAAUCAGCCUACAUACCGCCGUCUCCAGCCCACCCCCAUGAAGGCCCAACA
rnacentral:rRNA from 1 species